GACGGAGGGUGCGAGCGUUGUCCGGAAUCACUGGGCGUAAAGGGCGCGUAGGCGGCCCGGUAAGUAGGGGGUGAAAUCUUGCGGCUCAACCGCAAGGCUGCCUUCUAAACUGCCAGGCUCGAGCACAGUAGAGGCAGGUGGAAUUCCCGGUGUAGCGGUGGAAUGCGUAGAGAUCGGGAAGAACAUCGGUGGCGAAGGCGGCCUGCUGGGCUGUUGCUGACGCUGAGGCGCGACAGCGUGGGGAGCAAACAGG
rnacentral:rRNA from 1 species